rnacentral:rRNA from 1 species
ACGGGGCGCAGCAGGCGCGAAAACUUCACACUGCAGGAAACUGUGAUGAGGGAACUCCAAGUGUGGGCAUUUUUUGUUCACUUUUCUGAACUCUUAAUCGGUUCAGGAAGAAGGGCUGGGAAAGACCGGUGCCAGCAGCCGCGGUAAU